GAUGAACGCUGGCGGCGUGCUUAACACAUGCAAGUCGAACGGUGAACGAGGGAGCUUGCUCCCUCCGGAUCAGUGGCGAACGGGUGAGUAACACGUGAGCAACCUGUCCUGGACUCUGGGAUAAGCGUUGGAAACGACGUCUAAUACCGGAUACGAGACGCGAAGGCAUCUUCAGCGUCUGGAAAGAACUUCGGUCCAGGAUGAGCUCGCGGCCUAUCAGGUAGUUGGUGAGGUAACGGCUCACCAAGCCUACGACGGGUAGCCGGCCUGAGAGGGUGACCGGCCACACUGGGACUGAGACACGGCCCAGACUCCUACGGGAGGCAGCAGUGGGGAAUAUUGCACAAUGGGCGCAAGCCUGAUGCAGCAACGCCGCGUGAGGGACGACGGCCUUCGGGUUGUAAACCUCUUUUAGCAGGGAAGAAGCGAAAGUGACGGUACCUGCAGAAAAAGCACCGGCUAACUACGUGCCAGCCGCCGCCGUAAUAC
rnacentral:rRNA from 1 species